AGAAUGAAAGAUAUAAUUAAAAUAAAUUGGAUAGAGUCAGGUAAGAAUAGUAGUAGGCAUAAGGUUCAAAUAAAGCAUAGUAUAUUUAUAAAUACAUUUUAUAAUUCUUUAUUUCAAAUCCAUUAAGGGUGAUAUAAAUUUAUUCGUCCGGGAUUUAUUUGACUCGCGCUGUUAUAAAGCGUAGGGAAAUAACUGGUGAUUGGUCACCAUGGGCCAAUCAGGAGCUCGUAUUGUGAACUGCUGACCCGACCUUGAAAGUUGUAAACAACAACACACAUGUGUAAUGGCUGCGCCCAUGAAAGAACGUGAAUCGACUGAUAUUUCAUCAAAUUUACGCUGUAUUAUUCAUUACCAAGGAUUUAGAAAGGAACGAGAACAAUUAUUUACAAAAUCUCGCUGGGAUAAAUUCCGUGAAUGUGCCCAUGAAUGGCUAAAACUUGAUGGGCGAGCGAAAUGGAUAGCUGAACAGGCGACUUCGGGUGAUAUAAUCAAACAAGGAAUUUAUCGACGCGCCAAAAGAUACUGGAUUUCACCCAACAUGCUACAGGCCUUUUACAGACAAAUUCCGAAUUGGGUCUGCCCGUAAUCGUAUAGAUAAAGAAAAAUUAAAAUCCCCGGCUACAAUCCAACCAGGGAAUAGCGGGAGUGUAGACGAUCUGGGACCUAGCUCUCCAAACAAAUUACGCUCCUGAAGCAAAAAGAAAGAGUAAAUCGGUGCUGCCUGUUGUUUGUAUUAUAUGUAAAAAACGUGACAGAUUUGUCACUGUUGGAGAAAAUAGGAAGAAGGAUGUAUUAACACAGACUCAGACCCAAACAGGCUCAGGCCAACUGUUGAAAGCUGCUGAAUUGAAAGAGGAUGAAGAUAUUUUAAGGCAUAUCAGAGGGCAAGAUUGUGUGGCCAUUGAGGUCAGAUAUCACCAAAAAUGUUAUAGGCAAUAUACAUGUACUGAAUUUCUUAGACAGUUAUCAGAAAGCAAAGAUGACUAGCCCUCCGUCGAAUAUUAAACCACAUACAAUAUAUUCUGUGAAGAUGUCAUAAGAGAAAGAAUCAUAAAUGGCCAGCAAAGUUGUCUUGUACAGAGGGAGAGAAAUGGGGUUUAACGUCCACUCAACACAAACUAGGUCAUUUUGGGACUAACAUACGGUUUCAAUUUUAUUUCAAUAAUUCGCUUGCACGUAUGGGUCUUUAGCAGUGAGAGGAAACCGGAGUGCCCGGAGGAAACCCACGAGGUUGAGAAGACGCCUCUAUCUCCAUGCCACAUACGCUCACACCUGGGAUCAAAGCCACAGCCACAAGCCAGAGGUGACCGACCAGCUAGAGGUCGAAGCGCGGCACUCUAGGCCAUCCCAACCCCCCUUUCUUGUACAGACCUGUGCAUGUGUAGUCAAUGUGAAAAUGAAAAAAAAACUGUUAAAGAGACCGAAUUUGAUGUUAAUACAUUUAGUGACAGUGAUGAUGAUAAUGAAGAUUAACUUUGAUGACAUUUGAUGUGCAGAGUAACUGUUUAAUUUUGAUUUUCAAUGAUUGUUUCACUUUAAUAAAUAAUUUCACAACUGUUCAUCCUGUUUUCUAACCUUUCCCUUCAUUCCAGCCCAGAUACACAAUUAUUUUUUUUAACUUAUAUCUACAUGUAUGUUUGUAAUUUGACCAUUAAUCAUAUCCGAAAUAGUAGUUCACAGCUACAUGUACAGUUGUAAAAAUACUGUAGUGGCUAAUUGAAAGGGAACAUGUAUGUGGGUUUAGAAUGUUUAUCUUAGUGGAAAAAAAUCAUGUGGUUCAAUGCUUAUAAAGUGCUACUGAUCUCCAUUAUUUCAAAAGCAUAUCACUCAACUACUGUCAAACAUAUCCCCUGGCUAGAAUAUGCUACAAAUCGGCUCUAGCAUGUUCCAUACAAGCGAUAAUUUCUGAGCAAACAUCCAACAACCAACCCUAACAGGCCCUUGAGAUCCAACAAACAAAAUAAUUAUUGGGCUUGUUUGCCCACACCUGGUCUUAUGAUUCAUACAAGACCUGAUAGUCUAUCAAUUACAGGCAUUUGACAGAAAGGGAGAUAAUUCUUUUUUACCGUUAAUGGAUUUCCACAAUUCUUUAUUCACCCAUGACAUUUGUGUUUUGAGCAUUUUUAUUUACAUCAAAAUCUGUCCAAUAAACUGUUCAUUGCCAA